rnacentral:lncRNA from 1 species
GACUGUAAUAUUCCACAAAACAUAUCAAUCAAAAAUCAUUCUUAAUAUGGUAUUCAAAGUUUUAGGUUAAGAAAUCCUUCAACUCUAGUAUAAACCAUAUUCGGUCUUUAUUGUCAAAAUAAAGAUGCCUAAAAAUUGUCACCCUUGCCACCACCAUCUUGUUACUAGACAUCAUUAAUUGGCCUUUAUAGUUGACCGUAGAACCAACUGCUACUCCCUGCAAUCACGAGUCUCCAAAAAAUGUCCACAAGCGCAUUGUUUUGCACAACUCUCUCUAUCACCUUCAUCGCGUCAAACACAAACUACUUCAUGCAACUAUAUGUUCUGAGUAAAAUCAUUUUGGUAAUUUUUUCUUUUUGAUAAUUAAUUACUGUCUAAUUCUUAAAGGAUAUCGGAGAGUAUGUCCAAAGUUACGAGAGUAAAUUCCAACAUCAAAACAUUAAAUUUUAAUAAUUUCAUAAUAGAGACCGAAAGACUAAAGGUUUGACUUGAGUCUUUAGAGAAACAAACAUGUAGUGAUUUAUUAGCUUACAUUGGUAUGACUUCUACCUCACAGGAACUAAAUGCCUCAAAUAAAUCAUUUGACUUAUAUUAUAGACUCAUGAGCCAUAUAUUGUAUGAUCAAUACUUCUAAAUACUUUUGUACAUAUAUUUCAGGUCCGAAUAAUAAAAAUAUUAUCACUGCAAAUGGUUCUAUCAAUACUAUU